rnacentral:rRNA from 1 species
AUUGAACGCUGGCGGCAGGCCUAACACAUGCAAGUCGAACGAGUGGCGGACGGGUGAGUAAUGUCUGGGAAACUGCCCGAUGGAGGGGGAGAACUACUGGAAACGGUAGCUAAUACCGCAUACCAUCGGAUGUGCCCAGAUGGGAUUAGCUAGUGGGGGGGGUAACGGCUCACCUAGUCGACGAUCCCUAGCUGGUCUUAGAGGAUGACCAGGCACACUGGAACUGAGACAAGGUACAGCCUCCUACGGGAGGCAGCAGUGGGGAAUCUUGCACAAUGGGCGCAAGCCUGAUGCAGCCAUGCCGCGUGUAUGAAGAAGGCCUUCGGGUUGUAAAGUACUUUCAGCGAGGAGGCGUUACUCGCAGAAGAAGCACCGGCUAACUCCGUGCCAGCAGCCGCGGUAAUAC